CGACAAAAUCUCCGGCGUGGUGGUAAACCCAUUUCUCGGGUUCACUCAGGUAACACUCCGUCGUCGUCUCUUGCUGGCCGUCCGACGUCGAAAGCUGAAACCUCACCGGUUCUUUGA